rnacentral:ncRNA from 1 species
GAAAACCUCAAGAGGAAUCGCAGGUCGGGACGUUUGGUGUCUAUGCUUGGCUGAGGAGCCAAUGGUGCGAAGCUGCCAUCUGUGGGAUUAUGACUGAACCCCUCCAAGCCUGAAUCCCCCC